rnacentral:rRNA from 1 species
UUAUUGGAGAGUUUGAUCCUGGCUCAGGAUGAACGCUGGCGGCGUGCCUAAUACAUGCAAGUCGAGCGAAUGGAUUAAGAGCUUGCUCUUAUGAAGUUAGCGGCGGACGGGUGAGUAACACGUGGGUAACCUGCCCAUAAGACUGGGAUAACUCCGGGAAACCGGGGCUAAUACCGGAUAACAUUUUGAACUGCAUGGUUCGAAAUUGAAAGGCGGCUUCGGCUGUCACUUAUGGAUGGACCCGCGUCGCAUUAGCUAGUUGGUGAGGUAACGGCUCACCAAGGCAACGAUGCGUAGCCGACCUGAGAGGGUGAUCGGCCACACUGGGACUGAGACACGGCCCAGACUCCUACGGGAGGCAGCAGUAGGGAAUCUUCCGCAAUGGACGAAAGUCUGACGGAGCAACGCCGCGUGAGUGAUGAAGGCUUUCGGGUCGUAAAACUCUGUUGUUAGGAAGAACAAGUGCUAGUUGAAUAAGCUGGCACCUUGACGGUACCUAACCAGAAAGCCACGGCUAACUACGUGCCAGCAGCCGCGGUAAUACGUAGGUGGCAAGCGUUAUCCGGAAUUAUAUUGGGCGUAAAGCGCGCGCAGGUGGUUUCUUAAGUCUGAUGUGAAAGCCCACGGCUCAACCGUGGAGGGUCAUUGGAAACUGGAGACUUGAGUGCAGAAGAGGAAAGUGGAAUUCCAUGUGUAGCGGUGAAAUGCGUAGAGAUAUGGAGGAACACCAGUGGCGAAGGCGACUUUCUGGUCUGUAACUGACACUGAGGCGCGAAAGCGUGGGGAGCAAACAGGAUUAGAUACCUGGUAGUCCACGCCGUAAACGAUGAGUGCUAAGUGUUAGAGGGUUUCCGCCCUUUAGUGCUGAAGUUAACGCAUUAAGCACUCCGCCUGGGGAGUACGGCCGCAGGCUGAAACUCAAAGGAAUUGACGGGGGCCCGCACAAGCGGUGGAGCAUGUGGUUUUAAUUCGAAGCAACGCGAAGAACCUUACCAGGUCUUGACAUCCUCUGAAAACCCUAGAGAUAGGGCUUCUCUUCGGGAGCAGAGUGACAGUGUGGUGCAUGGUUGUCGUCAGCUCGUGUCGUGAGAUGUUGGGUUAAGUCCCGCAACGAGCGCAACCCUUGAUCUUAGUUGCCAUCAUUAAGUUGGGCACUCUAAGGUGACUGCCGGUGACAAACCGGAGGAAGGUGGGGAUGACGUCAAAUCAUCAUGCCCCUUAUGACCUGGGCUACACACGUGCUACAAUGGACGGUACAAAGAGCUGCAAGACCGCGAGGUGGAGCUAAUCUCAUAAAACCGUUCUCAGUUCGGAUUGUAGGCUGCAACUCGCCUACAUGAAGCUGGAAUCGCUAGUAAUCGCGGAUCAGCAUGCCGCGGUGAAUACGUUCCCGGGCCUUGUACACACCGCCCGUCACACCACGAGAGUUUGUAACACCCGAAGUCGGUGGGGUAACCUUUUUGGAGCCAGCCGCCUAAGGUGGGACAGAUGAUUGGGGUGAAGUCGUAACAAGGUAGCCGUAUCGGAAGGUGCGGCUGGAUCACCUCCUUU